UACGGAAAAGUUUUUUUCCCCGCGAAAUUCAUUGACGCUUAAUCGUACAGUAUGAUUAUCAAGAAAAUUAUGAAUCUUGCUGUAGAACAUGCAAAAGUUCAGUUUCUUUUCUUUAAUCAAAAAACAAAGUCUUAUAUUAAGCUUACAUGUGAUGUCUUGGACGAUAUGCAAGGGUUUUUGAUGGCUUUAUUUUAUCAAGAAAGAUUUGCAGUUUUAAAUGUCUUCCAUCCAGAAUAAAAAAAAUCUAAGUUUUAAAAGAUGUAAAAGACAGGAUUUUGAAUGGCUAAAGCGCCCAGCAAGAGGAGAUAUAUAUACAAGACCACGAGAUCAAGAAGGUGUAUCACAUACUUGCUGAGCCAAAAUGGGUGAAGACUCUUUCACAGCCUUCAUUAGCAGAAGAAUCUGGUGCCAACCCUAAUGAUGUAUUAAGUGAAGUAGGCUAAAACGCUUACAGGUCACGUUACCCCAAACUGUUAAAACGAGAAGUUGUGGCAAAAUGAAUAACAGAAAUGAAUAAGAGCACUAACUGAGGUACCAAAGCCCUAUUACAACUCAUUUGUAAAUAGAUUCUUUUACUUUGAAUGUUUCAUAAAAAUAGACCAAUUCAGCUAAGKCAAAUGUUUUACCCAAUUCAAAUCUACUGAGAAUACUUUUAUUUUUUUGUCGAUUAUUUUUGGAUAUCAUAUCCAUAUCAAUGUUUCGUUGAAUGUAAAUAUAAUGGACAAAGAAAAGUUUCCCCAGUAGAUUUACAGGAUUUAAAUUGGGUAAAACCUUUUGUUAGCCAAAUUGGUCUAUUUCCUUCAUCUUACCAACCUACAAACUUUCUUUUAUUUGGAUACAUGAAUCAAUUUUCCAUAAGCGACAAUAAAUAAAUAAAUAAUAAUAUAUUGAAAUGACUUUUCCGAAAAUGGGAAUACAUGUCAUAGGUAAAAUAAUCUUUUUGAUAAAUCUAACUCUUAAAACUUCAUAUAAUUUAUCUUACAAAACUGACAAAAUCAGCGAAAAAGGUGAUAAYGAGAAGCCCCAGGCAAUACCCAGGGAGGUUGGCACUCGCUGUUGGAGUGGUGGUGGCAUAUGUAAUAACAACAAGCUGCCUAGUGUCAUCUGGGAGGGGUAGUAACAUCACAGGCUCUAAGCCACUUUUAUCAUGAACCAGAGAUAUAUUAUUGAGGUAGGGUGUGUCGAGUGUUUUGUGGUAGGCCCAUGCGAAGUAUCGAAGACCAGGCUGCAAAGAAAGAGCAAGCUGGAUUAGUUCUUUAUAUCAAUCACUGCCAUAAAUGCGCCGGAAUCGUCAUGGAAGCUGUAUUGUUGAAGUGGAUUAAAGUGAAAGGCUUUGCAUGUUGCAGGCAUUAUGGAAUUGUACGAACAGCUAACCCCAACGAGAGUCUACUCCGCCUACAARACGGGAACAACAGACAAGAAUAAUGUCACAUGCAGAAUGUGCGGCGAGGGUUCCGAAUGUCUGGCACAUGUACUGGCUGGAUGUCCGUCUCUUGCACAGUCCAAGUACCUGGAUAGACACAACG